rnacentral:rRNA from 1 species
GUGCCUAAUACAUGCAAGUCGUACGCUUCUUUUUCACCGGAGCUUGCUCCACCGGAAAAAGAAGAGUGGCGAACGGGUGAGUAACACGUGGGUAACCUGCCCAUCAGAAGGGGAUAACACUUGGAAACAGGUGCUAAUACCGUAUAACAAUCGAAACCGCAUGGUUUUGAUUUGAAAGGCGCUUUCGGGUGUCGCUGAUGGAUGGACCCGCGGUGCAUUAGCUAGUUGGUGAGGUAACGGCUCACCAAGGCCACGAUGCAUAGCCGACCUGAGAGGGUGAUCGGCCACAUUGGGACUGAGACACGGCCCAAACUCCUACGGGAGGCAGCAGUAGGGAAUCUUCGGCAAUGGACGAUAGUCUGGCGGGGCAACGCCGCGUGAGUGAAUAAGGUUUUCGGAUCGUAAAACUCUGUUGUUAGAGAAGAACAAGGAUGAGAGUAACUGUUCAUCCCUUGACGCCUCUAACCAGAAAGCCACGGCUAACUACGUGCCAGCAGCCGCGGUAAU